rnacentral:rRNA from 1 species
CCUACGGGAGGCAGCAGUGGGGGAUAUUGGACAAUGGGGGAAACCCUGAUCCAGCGACGCCGCGUGAGUGAAGAAGGAUUUCGGGAUGUAAAGCUCUAUCAGCAGGGAAGAAAGAAAUGACGGUACCGGAGUAAGAAGCCUCGGCUAACUACGCGCCAGCAGCCGCGGUAAUACGUAGGGGGCAAGCGUUAGCCGGAAUUAACGGGUUGAAAGGGAGCGUAGACGGUAAUGCAAGUCUGGAGUGAAAGGCGGGGGCCCAACCCCCGGACUGCUCUGGAAACUGUGUAACUGGAGUGCAGGGGAGGCAGGCGGAAUUCCUAUUGUAGCUGUGCACUGCGUAGAUAUUAGGCGGAACCCCAGUGGCGAAGGCGCCCUGCUGGACUGUACCUGCCGUUGAGGCUCGACAGCGUGGGGAGCACACAGGAUUCGCUACCCCUGUAGUC